rnacentral:rRNA from 1 species
CGCCAGACUCCUACGGGAGGCAGCAGUGGGGGAUAUUGCACAAUGGGGGGAACCCUGAUGCAGCGACGCCGCGUGGGUGAAGGAGCGUUUCGGCGCGUAAAGCCCUAUCGGCAGGGAAGAAGGAGGACGGUACCUGACUAAGAAGCCCCGGCUAACUACGUGCCAGCAGCCGCGGUAAUACGUAGGGGGCAAGCGUUAUCCGGAUUUACUGGGUGGAAAGGGAGCGCAGGCGGCACGGCAAGCCUGAUGUGAAAGCCCGGGGCCCAACCGCGGGACUGCAUUGGGAACUACCGGGCUGGAGUGCCGGAGAGGUAGGCGGAAUUCCUAGUGUAGCGGUGAAAUGCGUAGAUAUUAGGAGGAACACCAGUGGCGAAGGCGGCCUACUGGACGGUGACUGACGCUGAGGCUCGAAAGCGUGGGGAGCAAACAGGAUUAGAUACCCGGGUA